AAAGAAACAUGUAAGGGAGAUAAAAACAAAAGGAAAUUCUUAUUGUUACAGUUCGUAAACAUUUAAAGAAAAAACAAGAUUGUAUUCGUUCUGGCUCAGCAAUCAACAUCAUCAGAAACAGCUGGCGAAGAAACGGUGAAUGAAGCCGAGGAGACAGAAAAUUAUAACAGUGUGGUGGGUUCCACGACUCCUGCAUCUACGGUUUCUUCACCAUCUACAAGUAAAUCUAAGGAGAAAUCUUGUCGUCGCACUGCUUCGAAUAUAGCGGAACAGCUAAUGACCAGGGCAUUUGGUCAAUUAACGAAUGUACUUAGUCAACGUCUAUCAUGUGCAAAUUCUGAAGAUGAUGAAUGUGAUAUGUAUGGUAAGCUGUUAGCCAAAAAGAUGCAGGAACUGCCUCAAGACGACAGGAAAUUAAUGAUGUAUGAAAUAGAUGGUUUAUUUAUCAAAAGAAUUAAACAGAGGUCCUUUUCGUGGGAAACACUGUCCCCUCAUAAUUCAUUUCAAUAUUCUAGACCAUCAUCAGUGUCAAGUGGAUAUAUAGUAGUACCAAACUGCUCAGCACAUGUUCAGACGUCAUUUUCUGAACCUUCUACCCCAAGUCAUGACUCCUUCACUACCAAUCCCAUCUCCAAUUUUGAAAGAUCCUCCACUCCUUUACCACCACCAAUAUCCUUGAAAUAGAGAUGACAACAUAACUAUUUACUUAACCAAAUCCAACCCUUCAAAGCCCACCUCUACAAUUACAGUAAUAACUAGUACCAGUAUCUGAUGGAAUAAUCAUAGUUCAGAGACAAAACAUUAUUAACGAAGCAUUCGAGAAAGCUUACAAAGAUUUUGAGCAGUAUGAUAUUAGAGAAUAAGUAAUAACAAUU